CCCCUACAGCUGGACCGACCACUCCCAACGGGAACUUGGUGGAUGAAUGUGAUGACGACCAGGCCAACUGCCACAGUGGAACAGGUGAUGACUUCCAGCUCACAGGUGGCACCACUGUGCUGGCCACAGAAAAGCCCACGGUCAUAGACAGCACCAUACAAUCAGCCAGGCUGGAAGUUUCCACAUUGAACCUCUCACUCCAUAACCCUCCCCAACAAAAGGCAUUGAUCUAAAAACAUAUCCUUUAAAUAACCAAAUUGCCACAAGUUACAUGAUCAAGACAAGAAGAUAAAAGAGCAGUAAAAUACAAAAACUUAGAGCGGUUCACCUGGUUAAAUGUACAGGAUGGGGAAGGACAUUGGAAGGUAAAGGCAGACUGUCAUUCUCUGAAGCGAGAAGUGCCUGAAACAUUUUUUCAGGCAAAGCGGUUCCAUGUCCUGGUCAUUUCAAAAAUAUCCAAGUUCCUACAUUUUAUGGUAUCAUCAGAAUAUGAAGAGCCAAAAGAAUGGAUGAUGUCAUUUUCUGUUCUAUAAACAAUAAAUGUAAUGUAUUAACAAAGUAAAUACAGGCAGAACUGUG
rnacentral:lncRNA from 1 species